AGGCUGCAGUUGCUAAGCGCUCCUCUGGUGGGAGGUGGUUGCAAAGAUGGGGUGAAGGCUGCCUCGGCGGCUCAGCGCCUCGACAGCCACCUGGCCUGCGGAAGUUUAGCAACCGGGAGGUGGGCCUAAAGCCGGAAGCAGGAAGGAGGGCGCAGGAAGCAGGGGCCGCAGUCAGUCGCGCUGUCGGUCCGUGAGUCCGUCGGUCUUGGGGGCAGGAUGGAGAAGCUGCGGAUCCUGGGCCUCCGCUACCAGGAGUACGUGACUCGCCACCCGGCCGCCACGGCCCAGCUGGAGACGGCAGUGCGAGGCCUCAGCUACCUGCUGGCAGGUCGCUUCGCAGAUUCACACGAGCUGUCAGAACUGGUGUACUCCGCCUCCAAUCUGCUGGUGUUGCUCAAUGAUGGCAUCCUACGAAGAGAGCUGCGGAGAAAACUGCCCAUGUCCCUGUCCCAGCAGAAGCUGCUGACAUGGCUGAGCGUGCUGGAGUGUGUGGAGGUGUUCAUGGAGAUGGGGGCAGCCAAGGUGUGGGGCGAAGUGGGCCGCUGGCUUGUCAUAGCUCUCAUCCAACUGGCCAAGGCUGUCCUGCGGAUGUUUCUGCUGAUCUGGUUCAAGGCUGGCCUCCAAACCUCACCCCCCAUCAUCCCGCUGGACAGGGAGACCCAGGUGCAACCCACAGAUCAUGACCACAGCUCCGGCAGCCAGGAGCAGUCAUACGUGGGGAAGCGAUCAAACCGUGUGGUGCGAACCCUGCAGAACACUCCUUCCCUGCACUCAAGGCACUGGGGAGCCCCCCAACAGCAGGAGGGACGAAAGCAGCAGCACCAGGAGGAGCUGAGCGUCACCCCCACCCCCCUGGGGCUGCAGGAGACCAUCGCGGAGUCCCUGCAUAUCACCCGGCCCCUGCUGCACCUCAGUGCUCAGCCUGAGCCUCUGUGGUCAACGCUCCUGGACACCCUGGCUCCUGUCUGGGCUCGUGGACGUGACCAGCCUGAGCCUCCUGAGCGACAGGAAGCGCCUGACCCGCAGGGAGCGGCUGGAGCUGCGCCGGCGCACCAUCCUGCUGCUCUACUACCUGCUGCGCUCCCCGUUCUAUGACCGCUUCUCCGAGGCCAAAAUCCUCUUCCUGCUCAAGCUGCUGGCAGACCACGUCCCAGGCAUUGGCCUGGUCACGAGGCCACUCAUGGAUUACUUGCCCACCUGGCAGAAGAUCUACUUCUACAGUUGGGGCUGACAGGCACUCCAAGAGUGGGGUGCAGGGAGGGGUGGGGUGGCACGCUCUGCUGCUGUGGAUAAGGGGGUACCCCAAUCCCUCAGUCCUCUGGGCCCCCUUUUCCUAAUAAAGGUGGCAGUGUGCAAGCAUGUGGCCUCUGUGCGCCCCCAGCCCGGGCCUUCAUCACUGCUUCCAUAACACCUCCCCAGCUUAGCAAGCCCCCGUCACUGCCCAAUGCCUGCUUCUUGCCUGCUUCUUGUCUCGAGUCCCUGUGACAACAAAUGCGGCUGAACCUGGGCCCCUAGGCCAUGGAGGGCCGCUGCCUUUGUGGCGCCAGCCUGGGGCUGCCUGCAGCCUCUACCCUGGAGCUGGACAGUGCUCAGCCUUCAAACACUCACCCCCCGCUGAAGGCCGCAGGUUUUUCUUCUGUGGGAAGACUCGGGUACCCACCACCAUGGGGCAUAUGGGGGGCUAGAGGUUAUAUACCAAAAUUGCCCCUCUCCCCUUCUGCUGGCUACAUCUGCCUGGAAGCAGGUGGUAGGUGGGACGGAGCCUCCUAAGAAGCCAACCCAGGGACUGGGCCAGGAUGGAAGGUUCUGUGCUUUCAGAGGUCAUAGCUCAAAGGCUGUGAUUUUCCCAUGAGUCUAAGAAGCCUUGCUGGGUGCUUGCCCUUCUGCUGGACCUUUCGGGAGAACUGGGCUUAGUGGCUUGCCUCCUGGGUCUCCCCAGUGUUGGGAGGCAUGUAGAUUGUGGCGGGCUGGGUCCUCCCCAUGAGUGUGUAGGAAGUGGAUGAGUGUGGGUGAAUGGGGCAGGCCUGCCCAAGCCGACAGCCAGGGGUGUGGCUGGUAGGCACUUAUCAUCUAAGCAAGCUUUUAUUUCUGUUUUACUUUCUCCCCAUCUUUUUUUUCCAGAGCACUGUCCAGCUUUGGCUUAUGGUGGUGCUGGGGAUUAGACCUGGGAUUUUAAGUCUCAGGCAUGGAAGCUUUUUGCAUAACCUCUGUGUUAUCCCCCUGCCCACUUUUAUUCUUUUUUAAAAAAGAAUUUAUUUAUUCAUGAGGAAGAUAGGAGGAGAGAAAGAAUCAGCCACCAUUCUGGUACACAUGCUGCCGGGGAUUGAACUCAGGACCUCGGGCUUGAGAAUCCAAUGCUUUAUCCACUGCGCCACCUCCCGGACCACCACUUUUAUUUAUUCUUAUUUUUUAAUUUAUUUUUUACCAGCACUACUCAGCUCUGGUUUAUGGUUGUGUGGGGGAUUGAACCUGGGACUUUGAAGCCUCAGGCAUGAGAGUCUCUUCGUAUAAUCAUUAUGCUGUCUCCCUAGUCCAUUUACUUAUUUAGGACUAUUUAUAUUUGAUAGGACAGAGAACUUGAAAGGGGAAGGGGAGGUAAGGAGAAUGAGAGACACCUGCAGCUCUGCUUCACCACUUGUAUAGCUGCCCCCCUGCAGGCAAGGGGCUGGGGACUUGAACCCAGUUCCUUGUGCUUGUUAACGUGUGUGUUCAACCUGGUGCGCCACUGCCCGAUCCUUUAUUAAUUAAAGAUUUGUUAAUUAAAAGUUUUUUAAAAUUUUUAUU